rnacentral:rRNA from 1 species
GUGGGGAAUAUUGGACAAUGGGCGAAAGCCUGAUCCAGCCAUGCCGCGUGUGUGAAGAAGGUCUUCGGAUUGUAAAGCACUUUAAGUUGGGAGGAAGGGCAGUAAGUUAAUACCUUGCUGUUUUGACGUUACCGACAGAAUAAGCACCGGCUAACUUCGUGCCAGCAGUCGCGGUAAUACGAAGGGUGCAAGCGUUAAUCGGAAUUACUGGGCGUAAAGCGCGCGUAGGUGGUUUUGUAAGUUGGAGGUGAAAUCCCCGGGCUCAACCUGGGAACUGCCUCCAAAACUGCAUGACUAGAGUACGGUAGAGGGUAGUGGAAUGUCCUGUGUAGCGGUGAAAUGCGUAGAUAUAGGAAGGAACACCAGUGGCGAAGGCGACUACCUGGACUGAUACUGACACUGAGGUGCGAAAGCGUGGGGAGCAAACAGGAUUAGAAACCCCAGUAGUCC